UUGAACGCUGGCGGCAGGCCUAACCCAUGCCAGUCGAGCGGAUGAAGGGAGCUUGCUCCUGGAUUCAGCGGCGGACGGGUGAGUAAUGCCUAGGAAUCUGCCUGGUAGUGGGGGAUAACGUCCGGAAACGGGCGCUAAUACCGCAUACGUCCUGAGGGAGAAAGUGGGGGAUCUUCGGACCUCACGCUAUCAGAUGAGCCUAGGUCGGAUUAGCUAGUUGGUGGGGUAAAGGCCUACCAAGGCGACGACCCGUAACUGGUCUGAGAGGAUGAUCAGUCACACUGGAACUGAGACACGGUCCAGACUCCUACGGGAGGCAGCAGUGGGGAAUAUUGGACAAUGGGCGAAAGCCUGAUCCAGCCAUGCCGCGUGUGUGAAGAAGGUCUUCGGAUUGUAAAGCACUUUAAGUUGGGAGGAAGGGCAGUAAGUUAAUACCUUGCUGUUUUGACGUUACCAACAGAAUAAGCACCGGCUAACUUCGUG
rnacentral:rRNA from 1 species